UACGUAGGUGGCAAGCGUUAUCCGGAAUUAUUGGGCGUAAAGGGCGCGCAGGUGGUUAUUUAAGUCUGGUGUGAAAUAGUUGGGCUCAACCCAACCAGGUCAUUGGAAACUGGAUAACUUGAGAGCAGGAGAGGUAAGUGGAAUUCCUAGUGUAGCGGUGAAAUGCGUAGAGAUUAGGAGGAACACCAGUGGCGAAGGCGGCUUACUGGACUGCAUCUGACACUGAGGCGCGAAAGCGUGGGUAGCAAACAGG
rnacentral:rRNA from 1 species